rnacentral:rRNA from 1 species
UACGUAGGGUGCAAGCGUUAAUCGGAAUUACUGGGCGUAAAGGGCGCGUAGGCGGCCAGCACAAGUCAGUUGUGAAAUCUCCGAGCUUAACUCGGAAAGGUCAACUGAUACUGUGCGGCUAGAGUGCGGAAGGGCAACUGGAAUUCUUGGUGUAGCGGUGAAAUGCGUAGAUAUCAAGAGGAACACCUGCGGCGAAGGCGGGUUGCUGGGCCGACACGUGACGCUGAUGCGCGAAAGCUAGGGGAGCGAACGGG